rnacentral:rRNA from 1 species
GACGAACGCUGGCGGCGUGCUUAACACAUGCAAGUCGAACGCUGAAGCUCAGCUUGCUGGGUGGAUGAGUGGCGAACGGGUGAGUAACACGUGAGUAACCUGCCCUCUUCUUUGGGAUAACGCCCGGAAACGGGUGCUAAUACUGGAUAUUCACUGAUUCUCGCAUGGGGGUUGGUGGAAAGGUUUUUUCUGGUGGGGGAUGGGCUCGCGGCCUAUCAGCUUGUUGGUGGGGUGAUGGCCUACCAAGGCUUUGACGGGUAGCCGGCCUGGGAGGGUGACCGGUCACAUUGGGACUGAGAUACGGCCCAGACGCCGACGGGAGGCAGCAGUGGGGAAUAGUGCACAAUGGGCGAAAGCCUGAUGCAGCGACGCCGCGUGAGGGAUGGAGGCCUUCGGGUUGUAAACCUCUUUCGCUCAUGGUCAAGCCGCAGCUUGGGGUUGUGGUGAGGGUAGUGGGUAAAGAAGCGCCGGCUAACUACGUG